UUCUAAAAGUAUAUAAAAAGAGGGGCGGAUGUAGCCAAGUGGAUCAAGGCAGUGGAUUGUGAAUCCACCAUGCGCGA
rnacentral:tRNA from 1 species